rnacentral:rRNA from 1 species
GACGAACGCUGGCGGCGUGCUUAACACAUGCAAGUCGAACGGAAAGGCCCUGCUUUUGUGGGGUGCUCGAUUGGCGAACGGGUGAGUAACACGUGAGUAACCUGCCCUUGAAUUUGGGGUAACUUCAGGAGACUGGGGCUAAUAUCGGAUAGGAGCUCCUGCUGCAUGGUGGGGGUUGGAAAGUUUCGGCGGUUGGGGAUGGACUCGCGGCUUAUCAGCUUGUUGGUGGGGUAGUGGCUUACCAAGGCUUUGACGGGUAGCCGGCCUGAGAGGGUGACCGGCGACAUGGGGACUGAGAGACGGCCCAGAAGCGUACGGGAGGCAGCAGUGGGGAAUAUUGCACAAUGGGCGGAAGCCUGAUGCAGCAGCGCCGCGUGCGGGAUGACGGCCUUCGGGUUGUAAACCGCUUUCGCCUGUGACGAAGCGUGAGUGACGGUAAUGGGUAAAGAAGCACCGGCUAACUACGUG